GCCAGACUCCUACGGGAGGCAGCAGUGAGGAAUAUUGGUCAAUGGGCGCGAGCCUGAACCAGCCAAGUCGCGUGAGGGAAGACGGUCCUAUGGAUUGUAAACCUCUUUUGUCGGGGAGCAAAAGACGCCACGCGUGGCGUCCCGAGAGUACCCGAAGAAAAAGCAUCGGCUAACUCCGUGCCAGCAGCCGCGGUAAUACGGAGGAUGCGAGCGUUAUCCGGAUUUAUUGGGUUUAAAGGGUGCGCAGGCGGAAUAUCAAGUCAGCGGUAAAAAUUCGGGGCUCAACCCCGUCGUGCCGUUGAAACUGAUGUUCUUGAGUGGGCGAGAAGUAUGCGGAAUGCGUGGUGUAGCGGUGAAAUGCUUAGAUAUCACGAAGAACUCCGAUUGCGAAGGCAGCUUACUAAACUGCCACUGACAUUGAUGCUCGAAAGUGUGGGUAUCAAACAGGAUUAGAUACCCCCGUA
rnacentral:rRNA from 1 species